CCUACGGGUGGCAGCAGUCGAGAAUCAUUCACAAUGGGGGAAACCCUGAUGGCGCGACGCCGCGUGGGGGAAUGAAGGUCUGCGGAUUGUAAACCCCUGUCAUGUGGGAGCAAAUUAAAAAGAUAGUACCACAAGAGGAAGAGACGGAUAACUCUGUGCCAGCCGCCGCGGUAAUACAGAGGUCUCAAGCGUUGUUCGGAAUCACUGGGCGUAAAGGGUGCGUAGGCUGUUUCGUAAGUCGUGUGUGAAAGGCGCGGGCUCAACCCGCGGACGGCACCUGAUACUGCGAGACUAGAGUAAUGGAGGGGGAACCGGAAUUCUCGGUGUAGCAGUGAAAUGCGUAGAUAUCGAGAGGAACACUCGUGGCGAAGGCGGGUUCCUGGACAUUAACUGACGCUGAGGCACGAAGGCCAGGGGAGCGAAAGGGAUUAGAUACCCUUGUAGUC
rnacentral:rRNA from 1 species